rnacentral:rRNA from 12 species
GAUAGUGGUUGCACCCGAGUGUGAGUGCCUGAUGGUGUCCGAUCUCAGAAGCUAAGCAGGGCUGUGCCUGGUUAGUAUUUGGAUGGGAGACCAACUUGGAAAACCUGGGGCCACUAGCU